CACUGUCGGACAUGGCGGAAGACUGCUCCUGCUCCGUGUGACGCUCUUCUUCCGAAGCUGGGGGGGAAAAAAAGUGUCAAGAUCUCAGCAGCGUUCAGGAGGAUACGGCAUCCGUUACAGACAACUACAAAACAAAUGCUCCAAGCUGAAACUAAUGCUAAUGAAAUGCCUUUCAAUCAUUUGGUAUCGGUGUCAAGACACUGAUGGGCGCGUAAAAGGUCCACUUAAAUCCAAGUGAGCUAGUUCCGUUUUAGAAGUUUUGGGUGGUCAGUGGAGGGAAUCUCCACUUCAAAAUGGAACAUGCCUGAUCCCAUGGGGUGGGCCACAGAAUGCACUAAAUGUCUCUCUCUCUGCGGCUGAGUGAAACCUGACCCCCAGGGCAGCGCCUGUCUUCACAAAGGAGAUUGUGUGCAUAUCAACAUCACAGUGGCUGCUGGCCCAGGAGUCCAUUGACCAUGCGAGGAAGAAUUGUCAACCAAUCACGACGCUCAUCUGGACAACGGCCAGGCUCUGUGUCAUCCAAACUGACGGAGCUACCUGCUGCUGAUGCUGAUAUGUUAAUGUAUGAGAUGAAUUGGAAUGAAGGGAACUCAUCUUUGACUGGAGCAGUCUUCCAGUAAGCAGGACCAGCCUACAUAAAAGUCAACCCCCACCCCAGUCAAGGAGGUAUUUGGCCUCUCCUCUCCCAACUCGAUACCUCUUGUCAUUCGCAUUGGCCAAGUGUCACCUGGCUCUCCCCUUUAACAGGUAUUUUUCAGUGACACUUAUCCGUCCAAUAAUCUGACCUUACAUUCCUGUCUUUCACUGUCUCCCUCAAAGGCGGGUCUGUGCUUCUGGAACGUAGAUUUCAAUGCUGUCUGAGCUCUCGGUGGCCGAGUUCUGGCGGAAAGAGGCGGCCUUCUUUGCGGCCAGCAGACGCCUGCGGGCCUCUUGCCUCUGCUUCUCCGCCGAAGCCGAAGAAGGGGUGGAAGAGGAGUCGGCGCUUUUCUCGCGGCCCAGCGACGGCCGUCCUUUAGCGGCCUUCCUUGACGCCGGAGUGGGCGCCUUCUCCUCGUCCUAGAAAGAGCGACGAUACAUGACAGACAAGGCAGGAGUGAUGAGAAAUGAGACACAAAGGCAAAAAGACUCUUGGGAAGCCUACACCAGAUUUGACAGACAGGACUUGGACAAACUUCUAUUUUUUUAAACAUAUCUGGUAUACGGAAGAGGAUUAGGGCCGGUGAAGAAAAAAAAAAAAGGGGGGACAGGAUUCUGACUUAAGAAAAGUCAGAAACUUGUCAUCCCCCCCUUUUUUUGGCCCUAAUCCUCUUCUGUACUGGUAGAUUUAAGUGACUCAGAGAAAAAAAAAAGACAGUACAAUUAUAGACAAUUGGCAAACAGUCAGUGAAAAUUGUUAGACACAAAUGGUAACAUGAACUGAUGAACAUGAGUUCAAAUCACAACAGAACAAGACACAUUGCAAGGCAACAUAAAAAUUACGAAAGGGCAUUAAAAAAAAAAAAAUCUGAUUCCACGGAAAAAUUGAUCAAUUAAUCACAAUGAAUUAAUCAAUGGAUCAGGUCACUUACCGCUUUACUACAACUAAAAACAUUUAUUUUUGAUGGCAAGUUUAGGAGGCAGAGAAAAUGUCAGUUUUUCUGCAAUCAAACUUGUGCCAAAACGCAAAUGUUAAUAAAUGUUAUCUAUUUUGA